GAGUUUGAUCCUGGCUCAGAUUGAACGCUGGCGGCAUGCCUUACACAUGCAAGUCGAACGGCAGCACGGGGGCAACCCUGGUGGCGAGUGGCGAACGGGUGAGUAAUACAUCGGAACGUGCCCUGAAGUGGGGGAUAACGUAGCGAAAGUUACGCUAAUACCGCAUAUUCUGUGAGCAGGAAAGCAGGGGAUCUUCGGACCUUGUGCUUUAGGAGCGGCCGAUGUCGGAUUAGCUAGUUGGUGAGGUAAAGGCUCACCAAGGCGACGAUCCGUAGCGGGUCUGAGAGGAUGAUCCGCCACACUGGGACUGAGACACGGCCCAGACUCCUACGGGAGGCAGCAGUGGGGAAUUUUGGACAAUGGGCGAAAGCCUGAUCCAGCCAUGCCGCGUGAGUGAAGAAGGCCUUCGGGUUGUAAAGCUCUUUCAGCCGGAAAGAAAUCGCGCAGGAUAAUACUCUGCGUGGAUGACGGUACCGGAAGAAGAAGCACCGGCUAACUACGUGCCAGCAGCCGCGGUAAUCCCC
rnacentral:rRNA from 1 species